CCCCCCAUAGCUCAGCUGGUAGAGCAAUUCCCUUUUAAGGAAGAGGUCGUUGGUUCGAUCCCAACUGGGGGGA
rnacentral:tRNA from 1 species